rnacentral:snoRNA from 2 species
CCCCUCUCAGGGUCGCACCUGAGGAGUUCCCAGCACUCUACCAGUCUCGGCUAUGGGAGGGAGAGUCAAGCGGAGGCCUUUCCAUUCCAUUCCUAGCUUGGGCAGUGGCUAGUGAGUGGAGGGCAGUCUGCUACAAGU